UACGGAGGAUGCAAGCGUUAUCCGGAAUGAUUGGGCGUAAAGCGUCCGCAGGUGGCAAUGUAAGUCUGCUGUUAAAGAGUCUAUCUCAACUAGAUAAAAGCAGUGGAAACUACAUAGCUAGAGUACGUUCGGGGCAGAGGGAAUUCCUGGUGUAGCGGUGAAAUGCGUAGAGAUCAGGAAGAACACCGGUGGCGAAGGCGCUCUGCUAGGCCGUAACUGACACUGAGGGACGAAAGCUAGGGGAGCGAAUGGG
rnacentral:rRNA from 1 species